rnacentral:lncRNA from 1 species
GAGUGACUGUUCUAAAUGAUUCUAAUUCCUCCUUUGUUACGAUGUUCCAUAAAAGACAAUGUGUCAGGACAGAAAACUGAUCAAGGAUUGGCUCGGCUUAGGGUGUGGAAGGACUGACUCUGAGGAACCCACAUUUUAGAACGAUGCAAACGUUUCUCAUUCUGUCAGUGCUUGUAAUCUUCAUGACUAUGCACUUGUCAAAAUCAGGGGGAUCACAUUUCUUGAAUUUUAGAAAGCUGCACCUCUGCACAUGGAGCUGUCGUUGAUCACCUGUCCCUUGCAGUGACCUCCCACCUCCUCUCUCACUGGCCUUUCUGCUCUCCAAUUCCUCUCCACCCAACAGCCAGGUUAACCUGUUUACAAUCAGGUCACUGCAAAAG